rnacentral:rRNA from 1 species
GACGUAGGGUGCAAGCGUUGUCCGGAUUUGCUGGGCGUAAAGAGCGCGUAGGCGGUCUUGUAAGUGUGAAGUGAAAUCUCCAGGGCUCAACCCGGAAACUGCUUUGCAUACUGCGAGACUAGAGGGAUGCAGAGGUUUGUGGAAUUCCUGGUGUAGCGGUGAAAUGCGUUGAUAUCAGGAGGAACACCCAUGGCGAAGGCAGCAAACUGGGCAUCAUCUGACGCUGAGGCGCGAAAGCGUGGGUAGCAAACAGG